CAAGCUGCUGAGGGUGAUGUAUGAAUGCUUUGGUCCAGGCACUGUCUCUGUUUGGGAUGCAAAACAGAUCUGUGUGUGCAUAUGCUUUCAUCUGCAGCUGACAGUGCAAAACAGAGCACUGCUAAGUGGCAGAAGUGUUUACUUAGUGGUUUCUCUGGCAAAUCUUCGCUUCACCUGAUGGCAUAUCCCCUUGUAAGAACAGACUGGAGAUUUGCUUGGUUGAUUUAUUGAUUAUUGAAAGCAGUGCUUUACUGCUGACUUUCCCAAAAGACUGCAGUGUUUGAUUUCAACUCUCCCUUGAUAUCGAACUUUCUGAAAGUGUGCUCAUUCAAGACACCCUGCAGAUGCUGUUUGAGGAGAGUGACAGCUACUCAGAAUGGGAAUGUUUGGGCCUGCAGAUACCUUUUAUCACUACAGCAACUCAGAAGCACUGUGCAGUACCCGCAAUGGCUUAACAAGAAUCUGAAGAGGUGUGGGAAGUCCCUUCAUCUUUCUGCAGCACAAAGCACUAAGAUCUACAGUGGAUAUAUCUGCUCUGAACUCUCUGGCAAAAGUAUACCUUUAUUAAUCAGCAGACUACUGUGGUUAGCUCCAGAAACACACCAGACACAAGAUCCCAGCAUGGAAUUACACUGCUCUUAUUCCUGUACAUCAGGAUUUAAGUGGAAGAGACCAGAAGAACUCACUGUGCUUCAGUGACUGAAGGUACCUGCAAUAAUUCACGUGAUCUCAAGAUACAUCCUAAGAUUCCUGAACUUCCUGGGCCUCUCUUGACUAUCUGGAAACAUUCAAAACCGCUGUGAAGCAAAAUGGAUAGGUUUCAAAUAAUGAAAUGAAACUUCAGAUGUUCUGACACGUGACAGUAAUUCAUAAAGUUUCCAGACAAUUCAAAAAGGCACUACAAGAACAAAAUUCCCAUGUUCCGCUUACGUACAUCAGCUCCUAGUGAAGAUUUUGUGUUCUUCUUUCACCACAAAGGUCCCAUUGUCAUGACACCCUAUGAAGAAUGGCUUCUCCAUGGACUGUUAUUAUUGUGGAGUCAAAUGCUCGUGAAAUGAUAAGCAUCCAAGACCCAAAUGUAUCCACCAAAUUCCCACUCCCAGGGGUCAAACCACAGGCUCAGGAGGGCCUAGCAGUGAAAUGCUCUUGGGAUUUGUCUGUCCAUGUACAUGUCCAGGAGAACAAAUUGCAUGACAGGCUGUUGCGUGCCUCAUCUGAAGUACUUCAGUCAGUCAUAGGUAGUAAUGUCUUGCCUCAGAGCACACCAGUGAGACCAGCCUUGAAAGAAAGUAGAGUAAGUGGUGGCUCUGUCUACUUCAAUCCAGUAGGCCAAUGGUUUAUACAGUCUGGCAAGCCUCUGUGUAAAUACAGUAGGAACUAAGGCUUUUCCUCAAAAAGAGAAGAUGCUAUGGCUAAUUCAUUGUAGGCAUAUUGCCUUGGGGUAAGACAGGAUCCAUCACACUUGCUGAUUUAGGACCUGUAAGAGUCAGGAGCCAGGAACUGGUGUAUCUCAAGGAUUGCCCUCCUACACUUCCAUGUACACCAUGUAAACUACCUGUGCUGGCUAUCUUAACUGAUUAGACUGAACACAUCACUGCAGCAGCCACAGACUUGUAAGAAAGAAAUAGUGCUGGAAGUUAACUUGAGAUGAGGGCUUACCUUUGGUGGAAAGAAAUCCUACCAUGUGUAUCUGCCUCACCAGUACAUGCCCAUCUCUGGCCGAAACUUAAGGAUUUUGUAUACAGUUUGAUCACAAUCAUCACCGUCAUCAGUUUGGAGCUUGAUGGUCCUUGAGGUCCCUUCCAAUCCAAGCAAUUCUAUGAUUCUGUGAUCAUAACCAGUCUAUGAUCCUUCAAAGUAUCUGGCAUUAAUAGGCCUCAGUGGUCAGGGAAACCACCCUGGCCUGUCCCUUUGAUGUCACAAUAUUAAAAAUAAGGUGGGCACAAUGCACAAAUCGCCAGAUAGCAUUGAGCUAGCAUACCCAGCCCCUUCCAUCCACAUGGGCUGCUGGGACCACAGGUGAUAAACAUGGCGUGCUGGUGGCAGACCACACUCUAUCAGCCCAGAAUCGUCCUGGAGGAGAAUGGUGCUCUGCAGUCGUUGCAGAGCACUUCUGAGAGCUACGCAAAAUACACCAGACACCAAGCUUCCUCUGGCUCCCUAAAACUUCUGCAUCUGAGCUCUCCCAGAAAUCAGCCUGCAGUUUUCAAGACUUCUCUUUUGCCUGCAUAGAAAGCAAAGUAUAUAUCUCCAACAUACAUCUGCAUAAUUCGGAGCAAGCUGCGUUCAACCACUGUGCCUAAAGGAGAGACCUCUUGUCAGCCAGCCCAAAAAUCUGUUUGAAGGCUGGUUUACUGGCUGACUAUGAGAAGGCUGAAGCAGAAAAAGUUUUUCCUUUUCUUUGUGUUUUCUUUUAAAGAACUUUUUUUCCUAAGCGAUGCUCAAAGAAACACCUACUCCUCCAUGCAAUAUUCUCCGUGGGAGGGGAAAAUAUUCAAUGUACUAUGGAGAAACAUCAAUUAUUUUAAGAAAAAAUAAC
ensembl:lncRNA